AACGGUCUAUACCUGCGGUACCUGCGGAAGGAUCAUUACCAAGAGAAAUCUUUCAACACUGAAAGAUCUUUUCCUUUGUGCUGGCUUUGACCGUAUGUAAUUUUGGGACUUUAAAAUGGUUCGCAAGGGCCGGUCCCAAAAACAAUAUAUCAUCCUUAUGAAAUUUUUUCUGAACAAUUAAACAAAUGAUUUUAAUAAUCUGUUUAAAACAACUUUUAACAACGGAUCUCUAGAUCGGAA
rnacentral:misc_RNA from 1 species